CAGAGAGGAACCAGGCUUCUCCCUGUGACAAAGGCAGAGGCUUUCUUCCACACUCCGCCUGGAAACGCCCUCAGCGCAUCAAGUUCACCGGGCACACUUGAGG